rnacentral:rRNA from 1 species
GUGUCAGCAGCCGCGGUAAUACGAAGGGGGCUAGCGUUGCUCGGAAUCACUGGGCGUAAAGGGCGCGUAGGCGGAUCUUUAAGUCGGGGGUGAAAGCCCAGGGCUCAACCCUGGAAUUGCCUUCGAUACUGAAGAUCUCGAGACCGGAAGAGGUAAGUGGAACUGCGAGUGUAGAGGUGAAAUUCGUAGAUAUUCGCAAGAACACCAGUGGCGAAGGCGGCUUACUGGUCCGGUUCUGACGCUGAGGCGCGAAAGCGUGGGGAGCAAACAGGAUUAGAAACCCCCGUAGUCC